rnacentral:rRNA from 1 species
UGGGGAAUAUUGCACAAUGGGCGCAAGCCUGAUGCAGCCAUGCCGCGUGUAUGAAGAAGGCCUUCGGGUUGUAAAGUACUUUCAGUCGGGAGGAAGGUGUCAAGGUUAAUAACCUUGGCAAUUGACGUUACCGACAGAAGAAGCACCGGCUAACUCCGUGCCAGCAGCCGCGGUAAUACGGAGGGUGCAAGCGUUAAUCGGAAUUACUGGGCGUAAAGCGCACGCAGGCGGUUGAUUGAGUCAGAUGUGAAAUCCCCGGGCUUAACCCGGGAAUUGCAUCUGAUACUGGUCAGCUAGAGUCUUGUAGAGGGGGGUAGAAUUCCAUGUGUAGCGGUGAAAUGCGUAGAGAUGUGGAGGAAUACCGGUGGCGAAGGCGGCCCCCUGGACAAAGACUGACGCUCAGGUGUGAAAGCGUGGGGAGCAAACAGG